GAUGAACGCUGGCGGCGUGCCUAAUACAUGCAAGUCGAGCGAACAGACGAGGAGCUUGCUCCUCUGACGUUAGCGGCGGACGGGUGAGUAACACGUGGAUAACCUACCUAUAAGACUGGGAUAACUUCGGGAAACCGGAGCUAAUACCGGAUAAUAUAUUGAACCGCAUGGUUCAAUAGUGAAAUACGGUUUUGCUGUCACUUCUAGAUGGAUCCGCGCCGCAUUAGCUAGUUGGUGAGGUAAAGGCUUACCAAGGCGACGAUGCGUAGCCGACCUGAGAGGGUGAUCGGCCACACUGGAACUGAGACACCGUCCAGACUCCUACGGGAGGCAGCAGUAGGGAAUCUUCCGCAAUGGGCGAAAGCCUGACGGAGCAACGCCGAGUGAGUGAUGAAGGUCUUCGGAUCGUAAAACUCUGUUAUUAGGGAAGAACAAAUGUGUAAGUAACUAUGCACGUCUUGACGGUACCUAAUCAGAAAGCCACGGCUAACUACGUG
rnacentral:rRNA from 1 species